GAAUGUAGCAUACAUGGCGUACUGCUUAGUAACACGUGGACAACCUACCCUCCGGACGGGUAUAAACCCGGGAAACUGGGUAUAAUCCCCGAUAGAUCUCGGUCGCUGGAAUGCCCCGAGAUCGAAAGCUCCGGCGCCAGAGGAUGGGUCUGCGGCCUAUCAGGUAGUAGUGCGUGUAGCGUACCUACUAGCCUACGACGGGUACGGGUUGUGAGAGCAAGAGCCCGGAGAUGGAUUCUGAGACACGAAUCCAGGCCCUACGGGGUGCAGCAGGCGCGAAAACUUUACAAUGCCGGCAACGGCGAUAAGGGGACCUCGAGUGCCAGGUUACAAAUCUGGCUGUCGUGAUGCCUAAAAAGCAUUGCAUAGCAAGGGCCGGGCAAGACCGGUGCCAGCCGCCGCGGUAACACCGGCGGCUCGAGUGGUAACCGUUAUUAUUGGGUCUAAAGGGUCUGUAGCCGGCCGGAUAAGUCUCUUGAGAAAUCCAGCAGCUCAACUGUUGGGCUUUCAGGAGAUACUGUUCGGCUCGAGGCCGGGAGAGGUGAGAGGUACUUC
rnacentral:rRNA from 1 species